rnacentral:tRNA from 1 species
GCCGGAGUGAUGGAAUGGCAGACAUAGGGGACUUAAAAUCCCUUGCUCAGUUUUGAGCGUGCGGGUUCGAGUCCCGCCUUCGGCA